ACUCCUACGGGAGGCAGCAGUAAGGAAUAUUGGUCAAUGGAGGCAACUCUGAACCAGCCAUGCCGCGUGCAGGAAGACUGCCCUAUGGGUUGUAAAACUGCUUUUAUCUGGGAAUAAACCUAUUUACGUGUAAAUAGCUGAAUGUACCAGAAGAAUAAGGAUCGGCUAACUCCGUGCCAGCAGCCGCGGUAAUACGGAGGAUCCAAGCGUUAUCCGGAUUUAUUGGGUUUAAAGGGUGCGUAGGCGGCCUGUUAAGUCAGAGGUGAAAGACGGUAGCUCAACUAUCGCAGUGCCUUUGAUACUGACGGGCUUGAAUGAACUAGAGGUAGGCGGAAUGAGACAAGUAGCGGUGAAAUGCAUAGAUAUGUCUCAGAACACCGAUUGCGAAGGCAGCUUACUAUGGUUUUAUUGACGCUGAGGCACGAAAGCUGGGGAUCAAACAGGAUUAGAUACCCUGGUAGGAUAGCG
rnacentral:rRNA from 1 species